rnacentral:rRNA from 1 species
UGGGGAAUAUUGCACAAUGGAGGGAACUCUGAUGCAGCGACGCCGCGUGAACGAAGAAGGCUUUCGAGUCGUAAAGUUCGUUUAUAUGGGAAGAUAAUGACGGUACCAUAAGAAGAAGCCCCGGCUAACUACGUGCCAGCAGCCGCGGUAAUACGUAGGGGGCUAGCGUUGUCCGGAAUCACUGGGCGUAAAGGGUUCGCAGGCGGAAAUGCAAGUCAGGUGUAAAAGGCAGUAGCUUAACUACUGUAAGCAUUUGAAACUGCAUAUCUUGAGAAGAGUAGAGGUAAGUGGAAUUUUUAGUGUAGCGGUGAAAUGCGUAGAUAUUAAAAAGAAUACCGGUGGCGAAGGCGACUUACUGGGCUCAUUCUGACGCUGAGGAACGAAAGCGUGGGUAGCAAACAGG